rnacentral:rRNA from 1 species
UACGUAGGGUGCAAGCGUUAUCCGGAAUUAUUGGGCGUAAAGAGCUCGUAGGCGGUUUGUUGAGUCUGCUGUGAAAACUGGAGGCUCAACCUCCAGCCUGCAGUGGGUACGGGCAGACUAGAGUGCGGUAGGGGAGAUUGGAAUUCCUGGUGUAGCGGUGGAAUGCGCAGAUAUCAGGAGGAACACCGAUGGCGAAGGCAGAUCUCUGGGCCGUAACUGACGCUGAGGAGCGAAAGCAUGGGGAGCGAACAGG